CGUGUAGACGGCUUGGUAAGUCAGAUGUGAAAGCCCUGGGCUUAACCCAGGAAGUGCAUUUGAAACUGCCAGGCUUGAGUAGGGAAGAGGAAGGUGGAAUUCCUGGUGUAGAGGUGAAAUUCGUAGAUAUCAGGAGGAACACCGGUGGCGAAGGCGACCUUCUGGUCCUAUACUGACGCUGAGACGCGAAAGCGUGGGUAGCAAACAG
rnacentral:rRNA from 1 species